AUUGAACGCUGGCGGCAGGCCUAACACAUGCAAGUCGAGCGGAUGAGGAAAGCUUGCUUUUCGAUUCAGCGGCGGACGGGUGAGUAAUGCCUAGGAAUCUGCCUGUUAGUGGGGGAUAACUCGGGGAAACUCGGGCUAAUACCGCAUACGUCCUACGGGAGAAAGUGGGGGAUCUUCGGACCUCACGCUAACAGAUGAGCCUAGGUCGGAUUAGCUAGUAGGUGAGGUAAUGGCUCACCUAGGCGACGAUCCGUAACUGGUCUGAGAGGAUGAUCAGUCACACUGGAACAUGGACACGGGCCAGACUCCUACGGGAGGCAGCAGUGGGGAAUAUUGGACAAUGGGCGAAAGCCUGAUCCAGCCAUGCCGCGUGUGUGAAGAAGGUCUUCGGAUUGUAAAGCACUUUAAGUUGGGAGGAAGGGUAUUCACCUAAUACGUGGGUACUUUGACGUUACCAACAGAAUAAGCACCGGCUAACUCUGUGCCAGCCGCCGCGGUAACAC
rnacentral:rRNA from 1 species